GAUGAACGCUGGCGGCGUGCCUAAUACAUGCAAGUCGAGCGAACAGACGAGGCGCUUGCUCCUCUGACGUUAGCGGCGGACGGGUGAGUCACACGUGGAUAACCUACCUAUAAGACUGGGAUAACUUCGGGAAACCGGAGCUAAUACCGGAUAAUCUAUUGAACCGCAUGGUUCAAUAGUGAAAGUCGGUUUUGCUGUCUCUUAUCGAUGGAUCCGGGCCGCAUUAGCUAGUUGUUAAGGUAAAGGCUUAUGAAGGCAACUAUGCGUAGCCGACCUGAGAGAGGGGUAGGCGACAUGAGAGCUGGGACGGGGUCAAUGCGCCUGAGGGAGGCAGCAGAAUGGAAUGGGCGGCAGUGGUGGGAAGCAUGGCGGAGUGGCGCGGAGCGAGAUGUGAAGGUGUUCGGAGCGUAAUACUGUGUUAUUAGGGAUGAACAAAUGUGUAAGUAACUGUGCACGUCUUGACGGUACCUAGUCAGAAAGCCACGGCUAACUACGUG
rnacentral:rRNA from 1 species